UCUCGGCAAAAAUAUCCUCAUAAGUUCGACAAGAAGAGGAACCAUGAAUUUUAGUUAAUUAAUAACUCCUAUUAAUUUAUUUAUAUGGUGGCACAAAAUCGGAAGCCCCGACUGUUUACUAAAAACACAACUAUCUGCAAUUAUGAAAAUAAUAGUAUAGGUAGUGAGAUUUGCCCAAUGCCAAAUUAAUAAGUAAUAAUAAUAGGUAACUGUUUCUUUACAAAAAAUUGGUUAAUAGCGGUCUUAACUAUGAGGAUCCUAAGGUAGCAAAAUAAAUUGGCCAUUAAAUGUGGUCCAGUAUCAAUAAUUUAACGAUGGCUUCACUGUCUCUACAACUUGCUCAGUGAAAUUGAAUUACCCGUGCAGAUGC
rnacentral:rRNA from 1 species